UCCAAGAGACAACCCACGGUUUCGCGCUCCAGCGCGGAGGCUGAGUACCGAGCUGUGGCCAACGCUGUUGCUGAGUGCACCUGGCUACGACAGUUACUUCAGGAGCUGCAUCACGACGUCUCCCAGGCUACGGUUGUCUACUGCGACAACGUUACCGCUGUGUACCUCUCCGCCAACCCCGUUCAUCAUCGCCGGACUAAACACAUUGAGCUGGACAUUCAUUUUGUGCGCGAGCAGGUGGCUCUCGGACGCAUUCGGGUUCUCCAUGUGCCGACUGCACAACAGUUCACCGAUGUUAUGACGAAGGGUCUGCCGACUUCC
rnacentral:rRNA from 1 species